GAAAGAGACAAAUGAGGUGUGCAUAUGGAACCAACACCUGCUAAAGGCAUGUGAGUGCCAUUAGCAGUCAUGACUAACAUAGAGAAAGGAGAAUCACACAUAGAUACAAAAGAGUAUGAAGAAGGUGACAUAUGAUGUGAGGCUGUGGACCCUCACCCGAUCCAUAGGAUCGGCGCGACUCACUUUUAAAAGAAAAGAAAGAAUGAAAAAGUUGUGUUUUCCAGUUUUGAAAAACCCGCCCCCGGUGAGGAACGGUGUUGUAUGGAGUUGCCACUUACUUUUUAUUUUUAUUUUUAAAAUGGGG
rnacentral:lncRNA from 1 species